AAAUGAAUUUGAUUACAUUUAUAGUUGUACAAUCAUCAUCACAACCCAAUUUUAUUCCAUUUCCAUCCCUUACAAACCUAACGCACUGAAUGAAUGGAUGAAGCAUUGAUAGUCUUGCACGUGGUGGUAAGUAUCUGGGAACUAAUGUCCCUUCCUGUGAAAUCAGGUCCUCUGAGGACAGGGCAACAGGGACUGGAUCAAUGAUGGAUAAGAGCAAAGAGGGCUGCUUACUGUGCUCUGGAAUGAAAGUGAGAGAUGUGGCUAAACAGGAGUGCACAUGAGAGAGGUAGAAAACAAUGCUCUACCUUGAGGCACAUGAAGAAACCAGUAAAAAAAUUAUAUUUAUAUAUUUAAUAUAUACAUAUCAAGUGCAUAUACAUAUUAAAUGCAUAUUAUAUCUAUAUAUCUAUAUCUGUAUCUGUAUCUAUAUACAGAUGGAAUACAAGGUAAAAAUAUCCUGUGCAAGUGGUGCUAUACCUAUGGGACGUAGAAGAACAAUGCUUACAUUCAGAAACAGGUUGAAAAGGUCUCUCAGCUGGUAAAUAACACAGCAAGAACUUGAACUCUAAGUUUAGAACCAAUACACUUUAUCAGUAUCCUUUAAGCUGCCUCUUAAAGGAUAGUGAAAUCCUAAAAGUGAAUUCAUUUAUGGGUAUUCAGAAUUUAUUUAGGUGGUAUCUAUGUAAUAAAGUGAAGGAGAAAACCCAUUCUCUUGAGGAAUCAGACAGCACUGAAUUAGAUAGCAAGUAAACACUGAAAUCUUAUUAGAAAUGAGUUACAUAAAAUAAUACAAGUUUAAAUUUUUCAAUAUAUUAUCAUCCUCCAUAAGAAGGAUAAUUAUCCUUAAUUAACAAUGACAAGAGCCUCAAUUACGGAUUGUUUUCUGUCUUUAUAUGCCUGAGACCAUGCUUAGCAUUUCCUGUAAAAUUCUGAACUAAAUGUCAUUGAAGGCACAAUCCAUCAGAAUUUGUGGAAUACCAAAAAGCAGUACUUAAGAGGAAACUUACAGCAGUGAAUGACUAUAUUGGAAAAAGAAGCAAAAUCUCAAAUCAAUAACCUUAGGUUCCACAUGAAGAGACUAGAAAAAGAAGGAAAAAUUAUACACAAGUUCAGCAUAAGAAAAUAAUAAAGAUCUGAGUGAAAUUGAUAAUAACAAAAACAAAAUAUAAUAUCCAUGUGAACAAAAAUUGAAUUUUUGAAAAAAAAUCUAUAAAAUUGGCAAACUUCUAGUCAGACUGAUGAGAGGAAAAAAAACAAGAGAGGAAUAAACAAAUUACUGAUAUCAUAAAUGAGAGAUAUAACAUAACUACAGAUUCUAUAAUUAUUAAAGGAUAAUAAAUGAAAUAUUAUGAAUACAUUUUGGCAAUAGUUGAAAGAUACAAGUCCCCAAAGCUCAUUUAAGAAAUACAGAAUCCAGGAGUUCCUUUCGUGGUGCAGCAGAAAUGAAUCUGACUAGGAAAUAUGAGGUUGAAGGUUUGAUCCCUGGCCUCGCUCAGUGGGUUAAGGAUCCAGUGUUGCUGUCAGCUGUGGUGUAGGUCACAGGCAUGGCUCAGAUCUGGCAUUGCUGUGGCUGUGGUGUAGGCUGACAGCUACAGCUCCAAUUAGACCCCUAGCCUGGGAACCUCCAUAUGUUGUGAGUGAGGAUGGGAUUAAGAUGGUGGAAUAGAAGGACUGGAGCUCAACUUCUCUCCUAAAAACAACAAAAUUCACAAAUAAGACGGAGCACUCUUCAACCAAAUGAUCUGUAAACUUUCAAAAAGGUAUCUACUCCAGAAAACAAAGAGGAGGCCACAUCAAGAGGUAGGAGGAGAUUACACGAUAUAAGCAACCAAAUACCUCCUGGGUGGGAAGCCCCACAGACUGGAAGUAACUGUAUCAUAGAGACUCGCCUACAGGAGUGAGAGUUCUGAGCCCCACACCAAACCCCCACGUGUGGUGAUCUGGCACUGGGAGAAUGAGCCCCUGGAGCAUCUGGCAUUGAAGGCCAGUGGGGCUUGUGCGCAGGAGCUCCACAGGACUGGGGGAAACAGAGACCCCAUUCUUAACAGGUGAACACAGACUUUCAUGUACACUGAGUCCCAGGGCAAAGCAAAGUCUCCAUAGGAAUCUGGGUCACACAUGACUGCAGUUCUUGGAGGACUUCCUGGGAAAACAGGGUUAAUGUGGCUUGUUGUGGGGGAAGGAUAUUGGAAGCAAAGCUUUUGGGAAUAUUCAUCAGUGUGCCUUUCUCUGGAGGUGACCAUCUUGGAAAAUCUGGCCCCACCCAUCAGCCCUGAGAAGCCCCAGGGCAAACAACAAUCCAGGUGGGAUCAUAGCCCCAGCCCUCAGUAAACAGGCUGCUAAAUACACCCCAUGUACACAGCCACCUCUAAUCCUAUCCAGAGACUAAGCCCCACCCACCGGAGGGAUAGGAAUAAGCUCCACCUACCAGUGGGCAGCCAUCAGUCCCACCCAUCAAGAAGCCUACAGCAAG
rnacentral:lncRNA from 1 species